GACAGAGGUGCCAAGCGUUAGGCGGAAUCACUGGGCUUAAAGCGUGUGUAGGCGGAUUUGUAAGUACCUUGUGAAAUCCCACGGCUUAACCGUGGAACUGCUCGGUAUACUGCGAAUCUUGGGCCAUCUAGGGGCGAGCGGAACAAGUGGUGGAGCGGUGAAAUGCGUAGAUAUCACUUGGAACGCCAAUGGUGAAAACAGCUCGCUGGGGAUGUGCCGACGCUGAGACACGAAAGCCAGGGGAGCGAACGGG
rnacentral:rRNA from 1 species